CCUACGGGAGGCAGCAGUGAGGAAUAUUGGUCAAUGGGCUUACGCCUGAACCAGCCAAGUCGCGUGAGGGAAGACUGCCCUAUGGGUUGUAAACCUCUUUUGUCAGGGAGCAACGCCGGCUACGUGUAGCCGGACUGAGAGUCCCUGAAGAAAAAGCAUGGGCUAACUCCGUGCCAGCAGCCGCGGUAAUACGGAGGAUGCGAGCGUUACCCGGAUUUAUUGGGUUUAAAGGGUGCGUAGGCGGAAUGCCAAGUCAGCGGUAAAAUCGCGGGGCUCAACCUCGCGCCGCCGUUGAAACUGGCGGUCUUGAGUGGGCGAGAGGUAGGCGGAAUGCGUGGUGUAGCGGUGAAAUGCAUAGAUAUCACGCAGAACUCCGAUUGCGAAGGCAGCAUACCGGCGCCCAACUGACGCUGAAGCACGAAGGCGUGGGUAUCGAACAGGAUUAGAUACCCCAGUAGUC
rnacentral:rRNA from 1 species